rnacentral:lncRNA from 1 species
AUAUGGCAUUUUAAAAAUAUUUGAUUUGAGUCGAUUAACAAUACUCUGACCUCAAAAUUAAAACUAAUUACUUAAUUACUUUAAUAAAUUUACAUUGCACGUAAAGCAUAGUACUAACUAAACAUAUAAAAAUAAAUAAAUUUUGAAAGCCGAAAUAUCGUUGACUAACUCUAAUCAAUUAAAUUGAAAUGUUGGAUAGUUAAAUCAAAAUUUUAAAUUAUUUGGAUAGCUGAAACAAAAUAAUCUAUGGCUGAGAUAAGUUUUGUACAUUUUGAUCUAUUACUUUUAGUACUAAGAAACUAGAGAGCAUAGCUUUUUUUUUUUGUGCGAAAAUCAGCUUAUAUGCCCCUAUAAAGUUUUCGACUUUCAUAUUUAUCCUUCUUCGAAGGCUAGUAUGAAAACUAUCCUUCUAAAGUUUUACCCAUCUAAAAAAUAUUCUUAUAAAAUUUUAAGGUUGGUAUUAUUGAUAGUAUAGUAGCAUAAUUCUAUAUAUAUAUAUAGAGAGAGAGAGAGAGAGUUGGACUGGGCUACUAUUAGUAGCAAAAUUUCAUUGUUGCUACCAGUUUUUUAGCCUUUAGAUCAAUUCUUUUCAUUAUUUCUAACCAUUGGAUUAAAUACUAUAACCCUGGAGACCACUCAAUCCUAGGGGGACCACUCAAUUCUAACCGACUAAUAUCAUCCUGACCUUAUAAUUUUUCAUCCAAAGGUUAAAAAUUUGAUAGCAAAAAGAGCGUUUUACUAUUAAUAGUAUUCCAGCCUAAUUCUAUAUAUAUAUAUAUAUAUAUAUAUAUAUAUUCAACUCGCUAUGUCCACGCAUAACUACACGUACAUUUACUACUUAAAAUUACAACAUCCGUAUUAUUUAAUAGACUGUCAUGAGAACUUCAAAAAUAAAAAAUAAAAAGUGUGGGUCUCAUAUCAUUUCAGCCAUUAGAAACAUCUAAAUUUUAGGUGCAGUCAUGAUUCGAGAGGCAUAAUAUUUUUUUAUUCUUAAAAAUAAUAAUUUUGUAUAGAAAAGAUAUUGAAGUGAGCGGUGGAUUGCUAACUAUUUUACAAAUUAUUUAUCAGUAUAUUAGAAAGGUAAAACUUCGAAAGUAUUUUUAUAUUUUUAAAGUUUUUUAAAGAAGUUGCCACUUUUAUGUGGGCAGGCUGCAAUGGAAAUUAAUAAAUCAUGAACGAAAAAAUAAUAGAGAAGCUAUCCGGAAACAUAACUAAUUGUAUAAAAUUUAUAUUUAAAAUUUAAAAAAAAUUGAAAAUAGCAAAUAGCAAAUGAGGCCUUAGUAGUUAUAGCCGGCUUCUCUUUCGAUGUUGUUCUUCUACUCUCUCUCUCUCUCUCUCUCUCUUUUCAUAAGGGUUCUUCCACAAGAUUAAUUAAACUCUAAUUAAUAAUUUCAAUUUAUUAAUUAAUCUAAUUAAUAUUAAAUUAUUAUUUAUGGAUAAUCUGCUAAGGGUGGGAACAGUUAUUUCCACCUCUAUUUUUAUUUAUAAAAUUUAAAAAUUUAAAAAAUUAAAAUUAAAAUUUUAAAUUUUAUAAUUUGUAAUCUCAAAAUUAAAUUUUAUAAUUUUAAAUUUUAAAUUUUAUAUUUUAAAAAUUAAAAUUAAAAUUUUAAAUUUUAAAUUUUAAAAUUUUAAAAUUUAAAAUUUGAUAUUUAUAUUUUUUAAAUUUAAAUUUGAUCUUAAAUUUAAAGUUUGAA